rnacentral:rRNA from 1 species
CAGUCGCCACGGUAAGACAGAGGAUGCAAGCGUUAUCCGGAAUUAUUGGGCGUAAAGGGCUCGCAGGCGGUUUCUUAAGUCUGAUGUGAAAGCCCCCGGCUCGACCGGGGAGGGUCAUUGGAAACUGGGAAACUUGAGUGCAGAAGAGGAGAGUGGAAUUCCACGUGUAGCGGUGAAAUGCGUAGAGAUGUGGAGGAACACCAGUGGCGAAGGCGACUCUCUGGUCUGUAACUGACGCUGAGGAGCGAAAGCGUGGGGAGCGAACAGGAUUAGAUACCCGCGUAGUCCCUGUCUCUUAUAC